rnacentral:rRNA from 1 species
UACGUAGGGACCAAGCGUUGUUCGGAUUUACUGGGCGUAAAGGGCGCGUAGGCGGCGCUGUAAGUCACUUGUGAAAUCUCCGGGCUUAACUCGGAACGGUCAAGUGAUACUGCAGUGCUAGAGUGCAGAAAGGGCAAUCGGAAUUCUUGGUGUAGCGGUGAAAUGCGUAGAUAUCAGGAGGAACACCGGUGGUGUAGACGGCUUUCUGGACCGUAACUGACGCUGAGACACGAAAGCGUGGGUAGCAAACAGG